CCAGGAUCAAGUGCAACCACAGUUUACUUUUGAAGUUUAAAUGUAUCCAGAUAUUAUAAUAAAUAAAUGUUUGAUUCCCUUAUUAACAAUAAAUUGGCAAUUCGAUAUUUCUUAAGAGUAAUUGAAUUGUGGCUCAAUAAUUUUAUAUAUUUAAACCAUCUCCGUUUCUGCUACCAGAUAUUGUCAUGUUGACCAUUAUUAUAAUUUAUAAUGUUCACGCAAGGCAAUAUUAAAUGGAAAAUAUAUUGAACAUUACUGGUCAGUAUUUGAUGUGUAAGUUGGAAAUAAAUUGCAUAUUGAAUAGAAUAAUAUUUAAGGAAUUCAUUUUCAUGUUGCGAGCAAAUCGUCCGACUUGAAAGAUACAGAGGUAGUGGAUAUAAUAAAUAGUGCAAUUGAGAUUUUCCGCUUUCUCAUCACACCUCUUGUGGAAAAUUCUCAGAAUCUCACCAUCACCGAUACAGAUAAUGGAGUUGUUGCUUGAGCUAAAGUCCUCAAAGGUACGAGGAAGUGCCUUCCUUUGUUAAAGACGACCGUAAAAAUUGCAAGGGUAAGACAUUUAGUCCAGAUGGUAAAUAUCCCGGUUUGCAAUUCUGGAGCUACUACUAAAAUUGUUUCGUGCAGUACUUGAGCUGUGGUCGCCGUCAUCAAAAAGCCUAAAGUAUGUACUCUACAGUUUUCAACUCUUGGAACAUAUUAAAUAAUAAGUGAGCCUUUCAUCGUAUUAGCAGCUAAUCCUCAAGGAAACUCUCAACUCCACAUCUGGGUCAAAAGACGACGAACAUGUUCAAAGUUUUAACCAAAAACAAUAAAUUGAUUGGGAGCCAGAUUGGUCAGACGAUAAAUAAAUCUGCGCGAUUUUGAUCAACACGGGCAUAGUAAUUUACGAAAAUGCAGAUUUUGAAAAAUUUGUUCAUCGUAUAGAUGUAACCAAAGCCGAAAGAUUUAAAAUAGCACCUGGAAACGCUUCUUAGCACAUUGUAAUCUAUACACCGGGUAAACUAGACAACCAUCGUUAGCUAGACUCUUCGAGUACCCAAAACUGGACAGUUUACAAUCUUUAGCAACCAAGAGCUUUUUCCAGCUUGAUAGAGUUGAUUUUUACUGGAAGUCAGAGUACAAGUGUGUUGAUUCUGACCAGUAUAGACAUUGACAAAACUGGAAUUUCGUAUUACAGUAAGCAAGCAUUGCUUUAAUUCAAUACGAAGGGUGACACGGCCAUUGUUACUUUGCUCCACUUGUCACCAGACGGUCACGAUUUUAUGACUGCUAUCACUGCAUCGAGGCUCUAUAAGGCUAAUGGGUUUAAAAUUUGGCAUUACACUGGUACUCAGUUGUACAAAAGGCCUUGAAACAAGCAGGAAGAAUAGUGAAAACUCCUUUGGCAACGGCUUCCGGUAAAUUCCUUCCCGGAACAAGCAAUUAGUUACAAAGCUGUUGAAGGUAUUGCACCUAGUACUCAGGCUUCUAAGCAAGUAUACAGACCCUCCUCGGCUCGUAGUCGUACAAUAAAUUUCAAAUUGAAUGACAAUAACGAUGAUAACGAUGCUUCCAAGAAAAACACCAUCAACGCGUCGUCAGAAGCCGCGCUCAAGGCCAAGAAGAAGUGCGAAGCUAAAAAAAGUUAAGAGAGAGUUGGAAGCUAAUGUGCAGAAAAAAAAUGUAUUACUCCCCGAACAAUUGGCUUGAAUUUACACGGAUCAAUAAAUGUAUAUUAAUUGAAAAUCAACAGUGUUAAUAGUAUACAACAGCUAAUCUAUCUAGCAACAUUUCAUCGUGAGAUUGGAUUAAGUUUAUCAUCAGCUGCUGUGUCUCAUUUUUAAUCAACAUCAAUAAGUUCAAUCUGUAAUUAACGUUAUUGCUAACGUUAAUUUUUCUUCUGUUCUUCGCAUUAUUAUAAAUUUACUAUGAAAUACAAAUAGAUCAACUAUAAAAAAAAUUUUUAUUAAUUUAAGAAUUGAUGCUUCAGAAGUUUUUAUGCAACUUCUUAAUGUAGGCACUUAGCUGUGUAGGAAAAAUGGAGCUGCCAAAGAAUAAAAUAAUAUUCUUUUAAUAAAUUUACCAAGUUUAAAGUAAUAUUAUCCAUUGUUUAUUCUAUUUUGUUAUAUUGAUGUUAAAAUUGCAUUCACUAAUUUUUGUAGAAAAAUUUUUUGAAUAAAAUUUAUAAUAAUGUUAAUAAUAAAAUAAGCUGACAUCCGAACAUUUUUUGGCUAUUGUUGGACAGAUAAACCUAAUAAAAUUAAUUAUGAUGAAUAAUAUUUAAUACAAAACUUUCAUUUAAAGUUUUUCAACUUCUUAUAAUAAAUGUGUAAGUUUGGAAUAGUUCUCUUUG